rnacentral:lncRNA from 1 species
AGAAAAUACUAAAAACAUACAAUAACAAAAACAAAAAGAGUUAAUUGGUUAUUUAUUAAAUUGAAUUCAAAUCCAAAUAACAAAUCAAAUUAUAUAUUAAUAAAUAGAUAUAAUAAAUAUGGAAAUUAAUAAAUAAUAUCUAAAGAAUUAGAUAAAUAAAAAACUUUAAGAAUACUUUUUUAGAGUUUUAGAGAAAGACUUCAAAAAAAAACCGAAAAGAAAUAGGUCUGAAUAGAACAAAAGGGGGGAUAGUAAAGAAAAAAUUAUACAAAACUAGAUAAAGCGCAUCCACACCCUCUUUUUUGUUCUAUUCCUUAAUAGAAUUUCGUUUGAUUAAGACUAACUUCUGUAAAACCCCCGCUUUCUGUGAAAUAUCAUGAACGGUUCCUGUAGGUUGAGCGCCCUUGGCAAGGAAAUAUAGAAUAGCAGGAACAUUUAAAUGGGUUUGAUUAUUUAUCGGAUCAUAAAAACCCACUUUCCGAAGAUCUCUUCCUUCUCUUCGGGAUCGACCAUCAAUUGCAACGAUUCGAUAAACGGCUCAUUGGGAUAGAUAUAGAUGAACAGUACCCCCCCUAGAAACGUAUAAGAAGUUUUCUCCUCGUACGGCUCGAGAAAACAAAAUGGUUCGAAGUGAUAGUUAUGUCUAUGUAUAGAAUUAGAAUGUCAAAUAGAUCUAUAAAAUAAUCAAAUCAAUUAGAGAUUUAAGUUAUUCUUUUUUUGUUUCUUUGUCAUUUUCAAAAGAAACAAAAAAAGAAUUCGUACUCUCAUAACUCAAGUUAGAUAAGUUUCAACGCCCAGCCGAAAAUCCUUAGGCAUUUCCUUUUUUGAGCGGUCUCAAGCCCCUUUUUUGUUUGUCUCGUUUCGAAUCGAAUCUAUUUUUGGAUUGGAUUGAAUUGUUGAGACAAUUGAAAAAUGGUAUUUCCUUGUUCCAGGAUCCUUUAUCUUUGCUUUGAAUCAUUAGGUUUAGACAUUACUUCGGUGAUCUUUAACGUUUUUUAUUUUAAAAAUGGCAGCAACACACCCCCUUUUGAUUUCUUUCUAUCAAAGAAUCAUACGAACAAUUGAUUCCUACAGGAUACACUUUUGGUAGAAAAAGUUUUCCAAUUCCAACAAAUUUUCCCCUUGCUUUUGGAUUUCAAAAUUGCUCGAAUCAGAUCCUUUCGAUUUCUAUAUCGAAAAUUUACUUACGAAGUUUUUUCCAACUUAUUGAUUGGUAUUAACCUAGAUCCGUGCCCCUGAGAAAGGAAUAAAUACUUUAUACUCGAGCUCCAUCCUGUACUAGUUCCAUUACCCCCCCAAAAAAACUUGAGGAUUCUAAUAGAACAGAAGAAAAAAUGUCGAGCCAAGAGCCCAUUCAUAUAAAAUCGAAAAUGGUGGAUGUAAAAAACAAAUCCACAGCGGAUCAUGUCCUUCAAGUCGCACGUUGCUUUCUACCACAUCGUUUCAAACGAAGUUUUACCAUAACAUUUCUCUAGUUUGGAACCGGUAUGUAAUUGAUUCCAGUAUGGAAUCAUGAAUAGUCAUUGCUUCGGUCGAUACACAGACUUUUUUCCUUGUAUAUGAAGGGAAUAUUUAGGUUGUUAGUCGUUCAUCCGGAAUCCUGAAAUGAAAAAGAAAAUCAGAAUUACAAAAAUGGGCGAUUUCCGUAUCUAUCAGAUUAGACUGAACAAUUUUCGUUGGAAGUAAUUAUGUAUAUUGUAUGUUAAAUAUUUAAUUUAACAGGAAGAUAAGGGCUCACAAAUCUUAAAAAGCAAAAGGACGUUAUCUCUGAAUAGAAGGAUAGCAAUCCAUGCAUAUAAGCCUUUCCUCAAAUUAUGUGUCGUUUCUUUGGCUUGGGCUUCAGAUUCAAUAAUCUUUCCCCAAAUUCAAAAUAAAAUAAAUAAAAUAGAAAAUAAAGUAAAUAGUAUAAAAUUCAAGUAAAUAGACUAUAUGAAUAACCCCGUCUCAAUUGUUAUUCCAGAGAUUUACAAUUAUUCAUUAAAAAAAGACCAAGACCGCAAAAUUUGGGUUAGAAUCAAAGAGCUCCAUUCCAUAUAGAGCGGGAUUAUUGGUUAAUGAAAUUUGGACCGACACCGAUAUUCAAAUCGGUAUCUUUCAUUGCUCACUAACUCUUACCUACUCCCACCCCGAAUUCUUUCUGUGGGAAUCCUAAAUAAAUAAAAAAAAAAAGAUCCCAUUUUACGGAUGCUAGACUAUUUUGUAUAGAUACAAAGACAAAAGGGCCCAGAUUAAGUCAUUGUUUCCUUUCUAAUUUGUUGUUUUUUAUUUUAAUCUAACCUAGUCUUACUUAGAGACUUAAUCCCGAAUUCAAUCAGUACCAGGAUACCCUCUUGUUUAGAAUUCCGAAAUGAAAAGAGAAUAAUUGGGAUUCUAAAAGAUAGGAAUGGGGAGGCUUUCCAUUUCGAUUAGAAUGGAUCUUUGAAAAUUCAAUUCGAGGGGGGCGUCAGACUUUUCUACCGAAACUCGCUUAAAUAUGAAAGUGAAUGAAAGAGAAGAGGGG